CAGACAGGGUCACAUAUGCAGAAUUAGAUUUUUAGUUUUUAGUUAGUCUAAUACAGUGAACCUGAUGUUUGUUCAUGUCUAUCAUUAUAAGAGAACUACUGUAUGUCAAGGGGCGGAGCUUAACACAUGCCUGUAAAAUACAGAGAUCUCUAACGCUGAUCACAGAACUGAGACAAGCAGAUGUGUUUGAACCUGAUUUUUACUACCAUAAUGUUAACUUGUCUACUAAUAUUGCUGACUGUAACUGAAGGUUACAGAGCUAAAGAAGUCAUCAGUCCUUACAAAGAUGCAGUAUUUGCCACUGAGACAGAGAGUGUGACACUGUCUUGUAACUACACUGGAUCAGUUUAUAGUCUUCUCUGGUAUCGACAAUAUGGAGCAUCACCACCACAGUUCCUUAUACUGGAUUACUCAGGAUUCAUUACUGAAGCUAAUCCUCCAGUUUCAGGAAUCUCCAUCAAACACAGAAAAGCUGACAGCAGUGUGGAUCUGAAGAUCUCAUCUGUUGAAGUCAAAGACUCUGCUCUGUAUUAUUGUGUGCUGACGCCCACAGUGACAGGAAACACAACAACACUGUACAAAAACCUCACUGACUCACAGUUUUAG